UACGUAGGGUGCGAGCGUUAAUCGGAAUUACUGGGCGUAAAGCGUGCGCAGGCGGUUGGGUAAGACAGAUGUGAAAUCCCCGGGCUUAACCUGGGAACUGCAUUUGUGACUGUCCGACUAGAGUAUGUCAGAGGGGGGUGGAAUUCCAAGUGUAGCAGUGAAAUGCGUAGAUAUUUGGAAGAACACCGAUGGCGAAGGCAGCCCCCUGGGGCAAAACUGACGCUCAUGCACGAAAGCGUGGGGAGCAAACAGG
rnacentral:rRNA from 1 species